GACGAACGCUGGCGGCGUGCUUAACACAUGCAAGUCGAACGGAAAGGCCCUGCUUUUGUGGGGUGCUCGAGUGGCGAACGGGUGAGUAACACGUGAGUAACCUGCCCUUGACUUUGGGAUAACUUCAGGAAACUGGGGCUAAUACCGGAUAGGAGCUCCUGCUGCAUGGUGGGGGUUGGAAAGUUUCGGCGGUUGGGGAUGGACUCGCGGCUUAUCAGCUUGUUGGUGGGGUAGUGGCUUACCAAGGCUUUGACGGGUAGCCGGCCUGAGAGGGUGACCGGCCACAUUGGGACUGAGAUACGGCCCAGACUCCUACGGGAGGCAGCAGUGGGGAAUAUUGCACAAUGGGCGGAAGCCUGAUGCAGCAACGCCGCGUGCGGGAUGACGGCCUUCGGGUUGUAAACCGCUUUCGCCUGUGACGAAACGUGAGUGUCGGUAAUGGGUAAAGAAGCACCGGCUAACUACGUG
rnacentral:rRNA from 1 species